UACAGAGGGUGCGAGCGUUGUCCGGAAUCACUGGGCGUAAAGGGCGCGUAGGCGGCCUGGUAAGCGUGCGGUGAAAGCCCGGGGCUCAACCCCCGGGUCGGCCGUGCGAACUGCGAGGCUGGAGCACUGUAGAGGCAGGUGGAAUUCCGGGUGUAGCGGUGGAAUGCGUAGAGAUCCGGAAGAACACCGGUGGCGAAGGCGGCCUGCUGGGCG
rnacentral:rRNA from 1 species